GGAUUAGAUACCCUGGUAGUCCACGCCGUAAACGAUGUGUGCUAGCCGUUGGGCCUUUUCAGGUUCGGUGGCGCCGCUAACGCAUUAAGCACACCGCCUGGGGAGUACGGCCGCAAGGUUAAAACUCAAAGGAAUUGACGGGGGCCCGCACAAGCGGUGGAGCAUGUGGUUUAAUUCGACGCAACGCGAAGAACCUUACCAGCCCUUGACAUCCCGGUCGCGGAGACCAGAGACGGUCUCUUUCAGUUCGGCUGGACCGGUGACAGGUGCUGCAUGGCUGUCGUCAGCUCGUGCUG
rnacentral:rRNA from 1 species